rnacentral:piRNA from 1 species
UCAAAGGAAAUGCCACGCCUAUCAACCACUG